GCUCCAGUUGUUCGAAAAGAGUGACUGACAGUAUCAACACAACACAGACACCACUCUCUUGAUAAUUAUUUCCUGGUGAGCCAUGAAGACAAUCAUCCUAACUCUUGUGAUGGUGAUGAUGCUCGGACUCAGCAUCAAAGCUGCAGCAAUUGAUGAAGUGUUAGCACACCUACAAGCCAAUCAGGUGGACUUGUCCGAAAUAGAGGAGGGUAAAGUGGUACAAGAAGAGGAAGAAGUGGAAAAGCAGGGAGCUGGAAUCAAGAUUCUUUAUGCCUACUAUGGUCUCUCCUGUGCAAGGGGUUCACUCCGAAAAAAUGUUCAAGUUAGAAGCACUGCAUAUGCCAAAAGCAAAUGCGAGGGAAAGCAGUCUUGCAGGGCACUGGUGCAUACUCGAUUCCUUACUGAUCCCUACAGAGGAUGUGCAAAAGAUUUCAUUGUUGUUGCAAGUUGCAAGAAUGGCGCAGAGAUAAUUUCCAGUCAUGUUACCAGAGAAGCUCAAGGGAAAUACUUUAGCCUGAAAUGCAGCGGUAGUACUGGUGGUGGUGGCUGCUAACUGCAUUGAACGAUGUGUAUAACUUAAUUAGAUUGCAUGAAUAGUUGCAUGUAUAGAUAAUUUGCUUGCAUAUAUAAUUAUUAGCUUAGUUAUAUAUACAGACUGUGGGCACAUUUUAGUGCAUUGUAAGACUGAGUGAUUCAUUGAAGACAACUUAGGAUUUUGUAAUCAAUAAUCUGUAUAAUUGUAUGGGCUAUUAUGUUAUGAGACAUCAACAUUUUUUGGA